rnacentral:ncRNA from 1 species
UACUUGGUUGAUCCUGCCAAGGAAGCACACUUAGGUCAUAGAUUAAGCCAUGCAAGUGUUAGUUCAGGUAACGAAACUGCGAAUAGCUCAUUAAUACGCUCAGAAUCUAUUUGGCGGCGACCAACAGGUCUUAAAUGGAUAGCAGCAGCAACUCUGGUGCUAAUACAUGCGAUUGUUUCUCCAGAUGUGAAUUAUGGAGGAAAAGUUGACCUCAUCAGAGGCACGCCAUUCGACUGAGUGACCUAUCAGCUUGUACUUAGGGUCUUUACCUAGGUAGGCUAUCACGGGUAACGGGCGGUUACCGUCGGACUGCCGGAGAAGGCGCCUGAGAGAUAGCGACUAUAUCCACGGGUAGCAGCAGGCGCGAAACUUUCCCACUCGAGACUUUCGGAGGAGGUAAUGACCAGUUCCAUUGGUGCCUUUUGGUACUGUGGAUAGGGGUACGGUUUUCCACCGUACCGAAACCUAGCAGAGGGCCAGUCUGGUGCCAGCAGCUGCGGUAAUUCCAGCUCUGCGAGUUUGCUCCCAUAUUGUUGCAGUUAAAACGCCCGUAGUCUGAAUUGGCCAGCAAUGGUCGUACGUAUUUUUACGUUCACUGUGAACAAAUCAGGACGCUUAGAGUAUGGCCACAUGAAUGACUCAGCGCAGUAUGAAGUCUUUGUUUUCUUCCGAAAACAAGCUCAAUGAGAGCCAUCGGGGGUAGAUCUAUCUCAUGACGAGUGGUGGAAUACUUUGACUCAUGAGAGAGAAGCUGAGGCGAAGGCGUCUACCUAGAGGGUUUCUGUCGAUCAAGGGCGAGAGUAGGAGUAUCCAACAGGAUUAGAGACCCUGGUAGUUCCUACCUUAAACGAUGCCGACAGGAGUUUGUCAUUUGUUAAUGGCAGAAUCUUUGGAGAAAUCAUAGUUCUUGGGCUCUGGGGGAACUACGACCGCAAGGCUGAAACUUGAAGGAAUUGACGGAAGGGCACACCAGGGGUGGAGCCUGUGGCUUAAUUUGAAUCAACACGGGGAAAC